rnacentral:misc_RNA from 1 species
GGACAUUAUUUCCUGGACAGUCAGGGUCUUGGAAGUUGAAACAUAUAUUAAGCAUAAUAAGCUUGCUUCUUCAGGUUUCUGUAACAUGCGACUUCAUUAGUAGUGUUGUAUAUGUUUGCAUGAUGUUUGAUUAAAGGGAGCAUGCACAUGGAUGCAUGCGGCGACUGUCAUUAUUCCUUGGAAAUUUUGUAAGUGAAGGUCAUGAGCCAC